rnacentral:rRNA from 1 species
GUUUGACUGUACCCGUUGAGGAAGCCACGGCUAACUCCGUGCCAGCAGCCGCGGUAAUACGGAGGUGGCAAGCGUUGUUCGGAAUUACUGGGCGUAAAGGGCGCGUAGGCGGCAUGGCAAGUCAGAUGUGAAAGCCCCGGGCUUAACCCGGGAAUUGCAUCUGAAACUGCUUUGCUUGAGUCCUGGAGGGGGUAGUGGAAUUCCCAGUGUAGCGGUGAAAUGCGUAGAUAUUGGGAGGAACACCGGCGGCGAAGGCGGCUACCUGGACAGUGACUGACGCUGAGGCGCGAAAGCCAGGGGAGCAAACGGGAUUAGAUACCCCGGUAGUCCUGGCUGUAAACGAU